rnacentral:rRNA from 1 species
AGAGUUUGAUCCUGGCUCAGAACGAACGCUGGCGGCGUGGCUAACCCAUGCAAGUCGAGCGCGAACGAACCCUUCGGGGUCUUAUUAGCGCGGCGGAACGGUGAGUAAUGUAUGGGCAACGUACCCUGGGCACGAGGAUAGACCAUCGAAAGGUGGCGUAAUACUCGAUGAGACCACACGGGGGCAUCCCCGAGCGGUCAAAGGGUGGGGACCCCUUCGGGGGCCUGCCGGCCCGGGAGCGACCCAUAUCCCAUCAGCUUGUUGGUAGGGUAAUGGCCUACCAAGGCGACGACGGGUAGCCGGACUGAGAGGUCGACCGGCCACAUUGGGACUGAGACACUGCCCAGACUCCUACGGGAGGCUGCAGGGACGAAUAUUCCGCAAUGGGCGAAAGCCUGACGGAGCGACGCCGCGUGUGGGAAGAAGCCUUUCGGGGUGUAAACCACUGUCAGGGGCCACCAAGCAAAUCCGCCUAAUACGCGGAGGCGUUGAGGAACCCCAAAGGAAGCCACGGCUAACUCCGUGCCAGCAGCCGCGGUAAGACGGAGGUGGCAAGCGUUGUUCGGAAUCAUUGGGCUUAAAGAGCACGUAGGCGGUCUGUCAAGCGUCUUGUGAAAUCCCUCGGCUCAACCGAGGAAUUGCUUGGCGAACUGGCGGACUUGAGGCAAGUAGAGGCGCGUGGAACUCUUGGUGGAGCGGUGAAAUGCGUAGAUAUCAAGAGGAACGCCGGCGGCGAAAGCGACGCGCUAGGCUUGUUCGAGGUUCCAGAUGCGAUUCGUCGCAGAUGGGGCCUCUUCUGACGCUGAGGUGCGAAAGCUAGGGUAGCGAACGGGAUUAGAU